GGGCUAAGAAGUGCGCAGGACGGUCUGUAACGUACGAGAUGUGGAAAUCCCCGGGCUUAACCUGGGAACUGCGUUUGAAACUGCAGAGCUAGAGUGCGGCAGAGGGAGGUGGAAUUCCAUGUGUAGCAGUGAAAUGCGUAGAGAUAUGGAAGAACAUCGAUGGCGAAGGCAACCUCCUGGGCUAGCACUGACGCUCAUGCACGAAAGCGUGGGGAGCAAACAGGAUUAGAUACCCUGGUAGUCCACGCCCUAAACUAUGUCAACUAGUUGUCGGGUCUUAAUAGACUUGGUAACGUAGCUAACGCGUGAAGUUGACCGCCUGGGGAGUACGGUCGCAAGAUUAAAACU
rnacentral:rRNA from 1 species